rnacentral:rRNA from 1 species
CCCUUAGAUGUUCUGGGCCGCACGCGUGCUACACUGAGUAAAUCAAUGGGUAAGGGAACACGAAAGUGCAACCUAAUCUUGAAAUUUGCUCGUGAUGGGGAUCGACGGUUGCAAUUUUCCGUCGUGAACGAGGAAUACCUUGUAGGCGCGUGUCAUCAUCACGCGCCGAAUACGUCCCUGCCCUUUGUACACACCGCCCGUCGCCCCUACCGAUUGAGUGAUCCGGUGAGGCUCUGGGACCUGGACGGAAAGAGCGUUUCGCUUGUUCUGUUUGGGAAACUUGGUCGAACCUUAUCAUUUAGAGGAAGGAGAAGUCGUAACA